AGCGAACGUUAGCGGCGGGCCUAACACAUGCAAGUCGAACGCGAAAGGUCUUCGGACUGAGUAGAGUGGCGCACGGGUGAGUAACACGUAGGUAAUCUACCCUUUGGCGGGGGAUAACGUUCCGAAAGGAGCGCUAAUACCGCAUAAGACCACGGAGUCUCCGGACGCUGUGGGAAAAGGUGGCCUCUUCUUGAAAGCUACCACCGAAGGAUGAGCCUGCGUCUCAUCAGCUAGUUGGUAAGGUAAUGGCUUACCAAGGCGAAGACGGGUAGCUGGUUUGAGAGAAUGAUCAGCCACACUGGCACUGGAACACGGGCCAGACUCCUACGGGAGGCAGCAGUGAGGAAUAUUGGGCAAUGGGCGAAAGCCUGACCCAGCCACGCCGCGUGAGUGAUGAAGGCCCUCGGGUCGUAAAGCUCUGUGGAGAGGGACGAAAACCCUGGUUUCAAAUAGGCUCCAGGCUUGACGGUACCUCUUUAGCAAGCACCGGCUAACUCUGUGCCAG
rnacentral:rRNA from 1 species